UGCUAUACAUGCAGUCGAGCGGACAGAUGGGAGCUUGCUCCCUGAUGUUAGCGGCGGACGGGUGAGUAACACGUGGGUAACCUGCCUGUAAGACUGGGAUAACUCCGGGAAACCGGGGCUAAUACCGGAUGGUUGUUUGAACCGCAUGGUUCAGACAUAAAAGGUGGCUUCGGCUACCACUUACAGAUGGACCCGCGGCGCAUUAGCUAGUUGGUGAGGUAACGGCUCACCAAGGCGACGAUGCGUAGCCGACCUGAGAGGGUGAUCGGCCACACUGGGACUGAGACACGGCCCAGACUCCUACGGGAGGCAGCAGUAGGGAAUCUUCCGCAAUGGACGAAAGUCUGACGGAGCAACGCCGCGUGAGUGAUGAAGGUUUUCGGAUCGUAAAGCUCUGUUGUUAGGGAAGAACAAGUGCCGUUCAAAUAGGGCGGCACCUUGACGGUACCUAACCAGAAAGCCACGGCUAACUACGUGCCAGCAGCCGCGGUAAUACGUAGGUGGCAAGCGUUGUCCGGAAUUAUUGGGCGUAAAGGGCUCGCAGGCGGUUUCUUAAGUCUGAUGUGAAAGCCCCCGGCUCAACCGGGGAGGGUCAUUGGAAACUGGGGAACUUGAGUGCAGAAGAGGAGAGUGGAAUUCCACGUGUAGCGGUGAAAUGCGUAGAGAUGU
rnacentral:rRNA from 1 species